rnacentral:rRNA from 1 species
AGAGGAGCUUGCUCUUCUUGGAUGAGUUGCGAACGGGUGAGUAACGCGUAGGUAACCUGCCUUGUAGCGGGGGAUAACUAUUGGAAACGAUAGCUAAUACCGCAUAACAAUGGAUGACCCAUGUCAUUUAUUUGAAAGGGGCAAAUGCUCCACUACAAGAUGGACCUGCGUUGUAUUAGCUAGUAGGUGAGGUAACGGCUCACCUAGGCGACGAUACAUAGCCGACCUGAGAGGGUGAUCGGCCACACUGGGACUGAGACACGGCCCAGACUCCUACGGGAGGCAGCAGUAGGGAAUCUUCGGCAAUGGGGGCAACCCUGACCGAGCAACGCCGCGUGAGUGAAGAAGGUUUUCGGAUCGUAAAGCUCUGUUGUAAGUCAAGAACGAGUGUGAGAGUGGAAAGUUCACACUGUGACGGUAGCUUACCAGAAAGGGACGGCUAACUACGUGCCAGCAGCCGCGGUAAUACGUAGGUCCCGAGCGUUGUCCGGAUUUAUUGGGCGUAAAGCGAGCGCAGGCGGUUUGAUAAGUCUGAAGUUAAAGGCUGUGGCUCAACCAUAGUUCGCUUUGGAAACUGUCAAACUUGAGUGCAGAAGGGGAGAGUGGAAUUCCAUGUGUAGCGGUGAAAUGCGUAGAUAUAUGGAGGAACACCGGUGGCGA